CCACGGUAUGUUUYAUGACUGGGGUGRAGYCGUAACAAGGUAGCAGUAGGUGAACCUGCAGAAGGAUCA
rnacentral:rRNA from 1 species